ACCUUAAUGUCACCAUGAUGA
rnacentral:miRNA from 1 species